UCUGGCGGCAGUAGCGCGGUGGUCCCACCUGAUCCCAUGCCGAACUCAGAAGUGAAACGCCGUAGCGCCGAUGGUAGUGUGGGGUCUC
rnacentral:rRNA from 1 species